GGCUCAGUGGUUCGGUGCUUAUACGUUUGGCUUAACAUCAAAAGGUCCCGGGUUCGAAUCCUGGCUAGGGCA